AGCACUGUAGGUGUCAGCCGCCGCGGUAAUACGUAGGGUGCAAGCGUUAAUCGGAAUUACUGGGCGUAAAGCGUAGCGCAGGCGGUUUUGUAAGUCUGUCGUGAAAUCCCCGGGCUCAACCUGGGAAUGGCGAUGGAGAUUGCAAGGCUAGAAUCUGGCAGAGGGGGGUAGAAUUCCACGUGUAGCAGUGAAAUGACGUAGAGAUGUGGAGGAACACCGAUGGCGAAGGCAGCCCCCUGGGUCAAGAUUGACGCUCAUGCACGUAAAGCGUGGGGAGC
rnacentral:rRNA from 1 species